AGAGGGUCACUGUGGGAAAGGAUGUCUCUCUUUGGUGUAAUCAUGAAGGGAACUUGACAUGGAGUAAAGAAAGAGAUGGAACAAGAAUAGACAUUCUCACUGCAGAAAAAGAUGGAGAGAUAAGAAAACUAAUUUCAGAUCCUCAUAAGCGUUAUAGUUUAUUGGAUGAUUUAUCACUACACAUAAAGAGUGUUUCACUCUCAGACUCUGGAUUUUAUUCCUGUUAUGAAGCUCCAACUGUGAAUCUGACAGUAACAGCACCAGAUUCAAACACAUCCAACGACAGGCAACCAGGAGCCACCACACCAACACAAGAUCAAACUACAGGUUUCAGCCACAGUCAACCAGAAGGCACAACACCAUCACAAGACACAUCUGCCAAGAAAUAUUAUUGUACAAAAGAAGAAAUCAAGUAGCCAUUUGGAGGACACUGUUUAUGCUGUUCAGAUUUAUUACAAAAACUGUAAGAAUCACCUUAUUUGAUCCUGUCUGUGAAAUGCAGGCUAAACUUGUAAAAUCCAAUAUUGAGAUUAGGAGUUUCAAUGUUUGAUUUUAAUAAUGUAUUUCACAUUUCAAGCAUUAAAGG